UCAAACUUGGUCAUUUAGAGGAAGUAAAAGUCGUAACAAGGUUUCCGUAGGUGAACCUGCGGAAGGAUCAUUAAAGAAAUAAACCUGGUGGGCUGUCGCUGGCAAUCUCUCUUUGCAUGUGCACGUCCAUCAUCUUUAUCCAUUUCCACCUGUGCACCUUUUGUAGACCCGGAUCGCAUCUUUUCAGAGACUCCUGGAAUCGGGAUUGACGAUGUCUAGUCGUUCUCUCCUUGGUGUUGUAUUAGCCGCUCAGAGUCUUCUGUCGUUGGGAUUGCCACAUAUUUUGAGGCUCUCCUUUCGCGUCCCCCGGUGCUCUAUGUCAACCUUUACACAAACGAAAUAUAUCAGAAUGUUGUUACAGGUCUUUGCACCUAUAAUAAAAACUAUACAACUUUCAGCAACGGAUCUCUUGGCUCUCGCAUCGAUGAAGAACGCAGC
rnacentral:misc_RNA from 1 species